UUACGGUCAAAUCACGCUGAAAAACACCGGUUCUCGUUCGAUCACCGAAGUUAAGCAUCGUAGAAAUCCAGGUCAGUACUUAGAUGGGGGACCCGCUUGGGAACACCUGGUACUGUAAG